AGGCUGAAACUCGCCUAUAUGAAGUCGGAAUUGCUAGUAAUCGCGGAUCAGCAUGCCGCGGUGAAUACGUUCCCGGGCCUUGUACACACCGCCCGUCACACCAUGAGAGUCGAUAACACCCGAAGCCUGUAGUCUAACAGCAAUGAGGGACGCAGUCGAAGGUGGGAUUGAUAAUUAGGGUGAAGUCGUAACAAGGUAGC
rnacentral:rRNA from 1 species